AUUGAACGCUGGCGGCAGACCUAACACAUGCAAAUAGAACGCGUGGCUGACGGGUGAGUAAUGUCUGGGAAACUGCCUGAUGGAGGGGGAUCACUACUGGAAACGGUAGCUACUACCGCAUAACAUCGGAUGUUACCAGAUGGGAUUAGCUAGUAGGUGGGGUAAAGGCUAACCUAGGCGAAGAUCCCUAGCUGGUCUGAGAGGAUGACCAGCAACACUGGAACUGGGACACGGUCCAGACUCCUACGUGAGGCAGCAGUGGGGAAUAUUGCACAAUGGGCGCAAGCCUGAUGCAGCCAGGCCGCGUGUAUGAAGAAGGCCUUCGGGUUUUAAAGUACUUUCAGCGGGGAGGCGUUACCCGCAGAAGAAGCACCGGCUAACUCCGUGCCAGCCGCCGCGGUAAUAC
rnacentral:rRNA from 1 species